rnacentral:rRNA from 1 species
UACGUAGGGGGCUAGCGUUGUCCGGAAUCAUUGGGCGUAAAGCGCGCGUAGGCGGCCAGAUAAGUCCGGUGUGAAAGUCAAAGGCUCAACCUUUGAAUGCCGCUGGAAACUGCCUGGCUUGAGUCCGGAAGGGGCGAGUGGAGUUCCUGGUGUAGCGGUGAAAUGCGCAGAUAUCAGGAGGAACACCAAUGGCGAAGGCAGCUCGCUGGAACGGUACUGACGCUGAGGCGCGAAAGCGUGGGGAGCGAACAGG